AUCUUCAGGGCAGGGUGAAAUUCCUGACCGGCGGUAAAGCCCGCGAGCUGUUUCUUUAUGGAACAGUUGAUUCGGUGUAAUUCCGAAGCCGACGGUAUAGUCCGGAUGCAAGAAGAU
rnacentral:ncRNA from 1 species